ACAUCCAGAUCAAUUCUUUUUCAUUUUCCAAUAUGAAUUUGUCACCUUGCAAAAAUUGUCAAAACAUAAUUAGUUUUAUAAUUGACAACUAAUCUAGCAACUUCUUCCAUUUUAUAUGCUAUUUUAACUGUAACAGCUAUACGUAUUUUGCAUAUACCAUUUCUAAUCAAUUAACAUCAACAAGCAUAACAUAGCAUAACAUAGCAUAAAUAUUAAAAUCAAAGCACAACAAAGCAUAAAUCACAUAAUCAUAAAAUGGAGGAUAUCAAAUUACAAAGAGGGAAGCUGAAACUCAAGAUUUAGUAUUCACGACGGCAGCUGAUGAUGAUUUACAGAGGUGGCGUUCAACCCGUAGCUUGUUACUGGUUGCGGCAGAGAAGGCUAGUGAUGAUGAUGAGAUUAACAUAGCCUCGCUGCAAAGAUGGUGACUGGUGAGGCGAUGAAGACGAUAAUUAAUUUUAUUUGAAGAAGACAAGAGCCAAAGAGAGAUUAAGAGAGGAAAUGUUUGAAAACCUAGGUUAGAUUUGGGAUUUUGUGAUUUCGAUGGUGAAAAUGAAUUUGUAAGAUGAUUUUGAGCACAAGGAAUGAUGGGAAAAUAAUGUUUAUGGUUUAAUUUGGUGGAAAGACGGAUGAAAAUGGUGGAUUUUAGAGUGAGAACGAGAGAAAGAGAAAAUAGUUUUUAGAGAGAGAGAGAAGCCGUAGACAGAAUGAAGAAGAAGAAGAUGAACAGUGUUUAAAAAAGAAGUGAAUCUAGCUUACCAUUUGUCUGUAACCAGCUUACCGUUUUCACUAAACGAUAGACCGGUUAGGUCCAGAGAGUAAGAGUCUAGGAAACGAC
rnacentral:lncRNA from 1 species